rfam:Oryza glumipatula chromosome 6, whole genome shotgun sequence.
UUUAAGUGCAACCAAAAGUUGCUGCGCCCAACUUUGAUCGUCCGUCUUAUUUGAAAAUUUUUUAUAAUUAGUAUUUUUGUUGUUAUGAGAUGAUAAAAUAUAAAUAGUACUUUACUCGUGACUUAUUUUUAAAUUUUUUAUAAAAAAUUUUCAAAUAAGACGGACGGUCAAAGUUAGACGCGAAAAACCAUGGUUGCACUUAAA